rnacentral:lncRNA from 1 species
UUUUUUCUUUUUUUUGAGUUAGUGUUUGCUCUGUUGCCCAGGCUGGAGUGCAGUGGCACAAUGAUGGCUCGCUGCAGCCUCGACCUUCCCAGCUCAAGCAGUCCUGCUGCCUCAGCCUCCUGAAUAGCUGGGACUACGGGCAUAUGCACCACACCCUGCUAAGUUUCCUUUUUAAAAUAUUUUGUAAGAUGACUCUCGCCACGUUGCCCAGGCUGGUCUUGAAUUCUUUGUUUCAAGCAAUCCUCCUGCCUGGGCCUCCCGAAGUGCUGGGAUUAUGGGCAUGAGCCAUCUCGUCCAGCCUCAUUUGUUCUUUUACUCAUUAAUUUGCUCAUUUAUUCUUUAUGUUUAAAAGUGACACUGUAAUAAAAUAUAUAAAAGAAGUAGAAGAUUGGCUGAGAGUUGAUUUGGGGAGAGAUGUAAUGAACAGAGCACCUGGAAAACAAAGCUGAGAUGUCGGCACAAGGCAACAAAGCAAGUGAUUUAUGGUGAUCGGGGACGUUUUCCUGGAGUCAAGCUGGAAGAACUGAAUGCUAUGCAUUGGCAAGGAACCAGUCAGGAAAGACAAGACCACCACCAUCUUUACCAAGACUGCAGCAUAACUCUUCACAGGUCUACCCACUUCUGCUCUUGCUGUUCCGCGAUCUCUUUCUCACUUCAUCCCAUGACUGACCUUCCCAAAUAGACAGGAGACACCCAGGGGUCCCGGGUGAAACCCUGCCUUGAAGCCUGAAACAGCCCAAGGCUGAGAAACUGGACUGCGGUCCCGGGAUGAAGCUCGCCCUUUUCGGACUGAUUCUCUCUGAAUAAUGCCCACCUGUGCACUGGAAGGACAGCGUGGAGCCUCGGGAAGUUCAGGACGUUUGCAGCGGGGAGGAGCCCGGUCCCUUCCCUUUUUAGGUGGUGACCUGGGAUUAAAUCCGUGAGGUGGGAGUCCUGUAGCAGGACUCUCGCUUUGCUGAGAGCCCGUCUUUCCUUCUUUCCUUUCACCCAAUAAACCCUGCCCUACCCACCCUACAAUGUGUCCACGUGCUUGUUUCCUGGUCAUGUGAUAGAAAUCUAUUUUAUUCUACAUCUAUCUAUCAACUUUCAUCUCUAUCUCUAGCCAAAUGUGUAGUACGCACGUGUGU